rnacentral:rRNA from 1 species
UGCGUAGGCGGAUAAAUAAGUCAGUGGUGAAAUCUUCCGGCUCAACCGGGAACCUGCCAUUGAUACUGUUAGUCUUGAGUACGGCUGAGGUAGGCGGAAUGUGUAAUGUAGCGGUGAAAUGCUUAGAUAUUACACAGAACACCAAUUGCGUAGGCAGCUUACUAGACCGUAACUGACGCUGAGGCACGAAAGCGUGGGUAGCGAACAGGAUUAGAUACCCUGGUAGUCC